rnacentral:tRNA from 1 species
CGGGGUAUAGCGCAGCUAGGUAGCGCACCUGUUUUGGGAACAGGAGGUCAUAGGUUCGAACCCUGUUACCCCGA